GACGAACGCUGGCGGCGUGCUUAACACAUGCAAGUCGAACGAUGAAGCUGGAGCUUGCUCCAGUGGAUUAGUGGCGAACGGGUGAGUAACACGUGAGCAAUCUGCCCUUGACUCUGGGAUAACUGCGGGAAACUGUAGCUAAUACCGGAUACGACACCUUGGGGCAUCCCGGGGUGUGGAAAGAAUUUCGGUCAAGGAUGAGCUCGCGGCCUAUCAGCUUGUUGGUGAGGUAAGGCUCACCAAGGCGACGACGGGUAGCCGGCCUGAGAGGGUGACCGGCCACACUGGAACUGAGACACGGUCCAGACUCCUACGGGAGGCAGCAGUGAGGAAUAUUGCACAAUGGGCGAAAGCCUGAUGCAGCAACGCCGCGUGAGGGAUGACGGCCUUCGGGUUGUAAACCUCUUUUAGCAGGGAAGAAGCGAAAGUGACGGUACCUGCAGAAAAAGCACCGGCUAACUACGUGCCAGCCGCCGCCGUAACAC
rnacentral:rRNA from 1 species